UCUACGACAUGGUUUGGAUCAGCUAUCCUGGCUGUGCUCCCCCAGCUCCUUGUGCACCUGCUCACUGGCACAGCGUGGGACACUGGAAAGUCCUUGACGCAGGGAUUUCAGCCAGGAAACCAUUC